rnacentral:sRNA from 12 species
ACUGUGGACUAUACAAGAACCUGUGAGUAGAUACUGAUUUGUCAGAUUGAAAGCAUAUAGGAUGAAACAGUAA